GGGAUUGCCCUAGUAACGGCGAGUGAAGCGGCAAAAGCUCAAAUUUGAAAUCUGGCCCUAGCGGUCCGAGUUGUAAUUUGCAGAGGAUGCUUUUGGUGCGGUGCCUUCCGAGUUCCCUGGAACGGGACGCCAUAGAGGGUGAGAGCCCCGUACGGUUGGAUACCUAGCCUCUAUAUAGCUCCUUCGACGAGUCGAGUAGUUUGGGAAUGCUGCUCUAAAUGGGAGGUAAAUUUCUUCUAAAGCUAAAUACCGGCCAGAGACCGAUAGCGCACAAGUAGAGUGAUCGAAAGAUGAAAAGCACUUUGAAAAGAGGGUUAAAUAGCACGUGAAAUUGUUGAAAGGGAAGCGUUUGCGACCAGACCUUCUCCAGGGGGAUCAACCGCUGUUCUCAGCGGUGCACUCCCCCUGGUUUAGGCCAGCAUCGGUUCUCUUAGGGGGAUAAAGGCCUGGGGAACGUAGCUCUUUAGGGAGUGUUAUAGCCCCUAGCGUAAUACCCUUCAGGGGACCGAGGACCGCGCUUCGGCAAGGAUGCUGGCGUAAUGGUCGUCAACGACCCGUCUUGAAACACGGACCAAGGAGUCGAACAUUUGUGCGAGUGUUUGGGUGUUAAACCCUCACGCGUAAUGAAAGUGAACGGAGGUGAGAGCCUUAGGGUGCAUCAUCGACCGAUCCUGAUGUCUUCGGAUGGAUUUGAGUAAGAGCAUAACUGUUCGGACCCGAAAGAUGGUGAACUAUGCGUGGAUAGGGUGAAGCCAGAGGAAACUCUGGUGGAGGCUCGCAGCGGUUCUGACGUGCAAAUCGAUCGUCAAAUCUGCGCAUGGGGGCGAAAGACUUAUCGAACCAUCUAGUAGCUGGUUACCGCCGAAGUUUCCCUCAGGAUAGCAGUGUUGUCUUCAGUUUUAUGAGGUAAAGCGAAUGAUUAGGGACUCGGGGGCGCUAUAUUGCCUUCAUCCAUUCUCAAACUUUAAAUAUGUAAGAAGCCCUUGUUACUUAGUUGAACGUGGGCAUUCGAAUGUACCAACACUAGUGGGCCAUUUUUGGUAAGCAGAACUGGCGA
rnacentral:rRNA from 1 species